UGCCUUGAAUUCCCAUUUCUCUCAAAUCUCUCUGAAACCCCACCUAAACCCUAACCGACAACCAAUAAUCCCACCCCAAUAUCUACCUAAUCCAUGACCCCUUGUGGUCAUUUGAGAAAUAUAUCAGCCUUCUAUGGCUCCUGGGUGUUUGUUUCUGUGGUUUCAUGGCUAGUCCUUGAAGGAAUCUGGUCCAAUCUUGCUCACCUCUUGUCAUGGCCUUUCUCUGGCCAUCCACGACCUUUCUCCGGCCAUCCAUGAUCUUUGACUCUUGUGGUUUGAUCAUUAACAUUCAAGGACUUUCUCACCUCUUCUGAGUUUUUUUUGAAGUCGUAAUCUUUAAGAUCUUUUGAUUUUUCUCUCAGAUCUACCAUAGUUCUAUGCUUACUAUGAAUGUCUUAAGUGUUUUCUCCAAAGUUCUUCAACUUUUCAUUCAAAAUGACUCUUUAUAAGGGUUUUCCUUUACUGUUUUUCAAAAAAUUUCUUCUCUAAUUCUUGAUGUUACUUUAUGAUUUUACUAUGUUCAAACUACUUGCUAUGUUUUCCUUCUACUUAAGUCAUCAAGUUAAAUCCCUAGUUCCUUUUUGUCUCAUCUGAG
rnacentral:lncRNA from 1 species